GACGAACGCUGGCGGCGUGCCUAAUACAUGCAAGUCGAGCGGGAACCUCGGGAGGGGUAACCCUUCCGAGGGGAGAGCGGCGAACGGGUGAGUACCACGUGGGCAACCUGCCCCGGACACCGGGAUAACCCAGGGAAACCUGGGCUAAUACCGGAUACUCCGGCGCGAUCGCAUGGUCGUUCCGGGAAAGCUCCGACGGUCCGGGAUGGGCCCGCGGCCUAUCAGCUUGUUGGUGGGGUAACGGCCCACCAAGGCGACGACGGGUAGCUGGUCUGAGAGGGCGCCCAGCCACAGUGGGGCUGAGACACGGCCCAGACUCCUAUGGGAGGCAGCAGUGGGGAAUAUUGCGCCAAUGCGCGAAAGCGUGACGCAGCGACGCCGCGUGGGGGAUGAAGGCCCUCGGGUUGUAAACCCCUUUCGCCAGGGACGAAGCGAAAGUGACGGUACCUGGAGAAGAAGUCCCGGCUAACUACGUGCCAGCCGCCGCCGUAACAC
rnacentral:rRNA from 1 species